rnacentral:rRNA from 1 species
GACGAACGCUGGCGGCGUGCUUAACACAUGCAAGUCGAACGGAAAGGCCCUGCUUUUGUGGGGUGCUCGAGUGGCGAACGGGUGGGUAACACGUGAGUAACCUGCCCUUGACUUUGGGAUAACUUCAGGAAACUGGGGCUAAUACCGGAUAGGAGCUCCUGCUGCAUGGUGGGGGUUGGAAAGUUUCGGCGGUUGGGGAUGGACUCGCGGCUUAUCAGCUUGUUGGUGGGGUAGUGGCUUACCAAGGCUUUGACGGGUAGCCGGUCUGAGAGGGUGACCGGCCACAUUGGGACUGAGAUACGGCCCAGACUCCUACGGGAGGCAGCAGUGGGGAAUAUUGCACAAUGGGCGGAAGCCUGAUGCAGCAACGCCGCGUGCGGGAUGACGGCCUUCGGGUUGUAAACCGCUUUCGCCUGUGACGAAGCGUGAGUGACGGUAAUGGGUAAAGAAGCGCCGGCUAACUACGUG